rnacentral:rRNA from 1 species
AAUCAACGCUGGCGGCGUGCCUCAGACAUGCAAGUCGAACGAUUAAAGCUCUCUUCGGAGAGUGUAUAGAGUGGCGCACGGGUGAGUAACACGUAAGUAAUCUACCUUUGAGUGGGAAUAACAGUCGGAAACGGCUGCUAAUACCGCAUAACGCAGCGGCACCGCAAGGUGACAGUUGUUAAAGGAGCAAUCCGCUUAAAGAGGAGCUUGCGGCAGANAGCUUGUUGGUAAGGUAACGGCUUACCAAGGCUACGAUCUGUAUCCGGUCUAAGAGGACGGUCGGACACACUGACACUGAAUAACGGGUCAGACUCCUACGGGAGGCAGCAGUCGGGAAUUUU